AUGCUGACCCCAGACCGUGAAGACAAAAUCUCUUGGCGUUGGACCCCAAAUGGCACCUACUCCUCUGCCUCAGCUUACAUGGCCCAGUUCUGUAGAUCCUUCCCCAGGUUCACGCCGUCCAAGAUUUGCGAGGCCCAUGCAGAACCAAAAUGCAAACUCUUCUCCUGGCUGGUUCUCCAUGGGAAAAUCCUCACGGCGGACAUGCUUGCUAUUCGCGGCUGGCCACAUGACCCUAUCUGUCCUCUCUGUCUGCGAGCACCAGAAACUGCAAAUCACUUGUGCAAGGACUGUCCGUUCGCGGUUGCGGUUUGGUCACAUGUACAACGAUGGACUGGGGAGGUGCCAGCGGCCCCGAUGGCAACGCCGGCUGCCGUGGGCAUCUCUGACUGGUGGGACUCGCUCAUCGCCCCGCUCUCCAAGGAGGAUAGUCGAUGCCGUAGUGGUCGCCUCCUAUACACCAUCUGGAAUAUCUGGAAGGAGCGUAACCGCCGCAUCUUCAACGGGACCCGCCUAACUCAUGUGGAAGUGGCUGCCCUCGCGUUCGACAACAUAAAAUAG
rnacentral:rRNA from 1 species